rnacentral:rRNA from 1 species
GAUGAACGCUGGCGGCGUGCCUAAUACAUGCAAGUCGAGCGAAUGGAUUAAGAGCUUGCUCUUAUGAAGUUAGCGGCGGACGGGUGAGUAACACGUGGGUAACCUGCCCAUAAGACUGGGAUAACUCCGGGGAACCGGGGCUAAUACCGGAUAACAUUUUGAACCGCAUGGUUCGAAAUUGAAAGGCGGCUUCGGCUGUCACUUAUGGAUGGACCCGCGUCGCAUUAGCUAGUUGGUGAGGUAACGGCUCACCAAGGCAACGAUGCGUAGCCGACCUGAGAGGGUGAUCGGCCACACUGGGACUGAGACACGGCCCAGACUCCUACGGGAGGCAGCAGUAGGGAAUCUUCCGCAAUGGACGAAAGUCUGACGGAGCAACGCCGCGUGAGUGAUGAAGGCUUUCGGGUCGUAAAACUCUGUUGUUAGGGAAGAACAAGUGCUAGUUGAAUAAGCUGGCACCUUGACGGUGCCUAACCAGAAAGCCACGGCCAACUACGUGCCAGCCGCCGCAGUAA